rnacentral:RNase_P_RNA from 1 species
GUCGGACGGCCUGUCGCCGGCAUGUUCCCACGGAACGUGCGGGAGGAAAGUCCGGGCAAUUCAGGGCACUCCGCUUCUUAACGGGAAGUAGCCCGCGAGGGUUAGACCAUGCAGAAGAAAACAACCGCUUCCGGAAACGGGAGUAAGGGUGAGAAGGUGAGGUAAGAGCUCACCGGGCGGGCGGUGACGUCCGUGCCGUGCAUUCCGGAGAUUGAAAGUUCGCGUAUACCGGCGCAUACUGAAGGGCGGCCCGUCCAAGCCGGAGGGUAGAACGAUAGAGCCGUGCGGCGACGUGUGGCGUAGAUAAAUGACAGGCACUUUCCUUACAAAGGGAAGUACAGAACCCGGCUUACAGGCCGACUGCU